rnacentral:rRNA from 1 species
CCUACGGGAGGCAGCAGUGGGGAAUAUUGGGCAAUGGGCGCAAGCCUGACCCAGCAACGCCGCGUGAAGGAAGAAGGCCUUCGGGUUGUAAACUUCUUUUCUCAGGGACGAAGCAAGUGACGGUACUUGAGGAAUAAGCCACGGCUAACUACGGGCCAGCAGCCGCGGUAAUCCGUAGGUGGCAAGCGUUAUCCGGAUUUACUGGGUGUAAAGGGCGUGUAGGCGGGAAAGCAAGUCAGAUGUGAAAACCAUGGGCUCAAACUGUGGCCUGCAUUUGAAACUGUAUUUCUUGAGUACUGGAGAGGCAGACGGAAUUCCUGGUGUAGCGGUGAAAUGCGUAGAUAUUAGGAGGAACACCAGUGGCGAAGGCGGUCUGCUGGACAGCAACUGACGCUGAGGCGCGAAAGCGUGGGGAGCAAACAGGAUUAGAUACCCUGGUAGUC